rnacentral:tRNA from 1 species
AGGGUUAUAGUUAAGUAUAACAUUUGAUUUGCACUCAAAAAGUAUUGAUCUAUAUUCAAUUUUCCUUA